ACAAGCGGUGGAUGAUGUGGUUAAUUCGAUGCAACGCGAAAACCUUACCACCUUUGACAUGUACGGAAUCCUUUAGAGAUAGAGGAGUGCUCGAAAGAGGGCCGUAACACAGGUGCUGCAUGGCUGUCGUCAGCUCGUGUCGUGAGAUGUUGGGUUAAGUCCCGCAACGAGCGCAACCCUUGUCAUUAGUUGCUACAUUCAGUUGGGCACUCUAAUGAGACUGCCGGUGACAAACCGGAGGAAGGUGGGGAUGACGUCAAGUCCUCAUGGCCCUUAUAGGUGGGGCUACACACGUCAUACAAUGGAUGGUACAAAGGGUCGCCAACCCGCGAGGGGGAGCCAAUCCCAUAAAGCCAUUCGUAGUCCGGAUCGCAGUCUGCAACUCGACUGCGUGAAGUCGGAAUCGCUAGUAAUCGUGGAUCAGAAUGUCACGGUGAAUACGUUCCCGGGUCUU
rnacentral:rRNA from 1 species